UUGUAAUGAUUUUUUUUAGCGGAAUUAAACUUGAACCAGUCAGGCUAACAUAAUUAAUUAUAUUCUGCUCCAGUUACAAUGAAUGAUUAAUUGAUUUCAACUGCUAGGGUGAAUGCCUGAGCUCUCAGUCAUUCAGCAAUCUUAGCAAGCAGGCUGUUAGAUCCUUCCUUGCUCACUAGUUUUUGUGGAGCUUGCUAACUGUUUAAGGAAAAUGUUUAUUUUCUGUUAAAAUAUGUCAGGGAGAGUGAUCAGGUUAUCCACAUUUAACCUAUGUGUCCCAUAUUAGAAUAUAUGUUAAGUAGCUCAGUACAGUAAACUAGAUUCUGCUCGCUCUUGUUAAAAUCAUAAUGGUCCCCAGAGGUGGAAAUGUAUGUUAAAAAAGGUAUCCUGGAAGUGUUUGAUCUCAGUGUAAAGAAAUUAGAAUAAUUUGAUAUAGUGUAGGUUGUCUUGUAGAAAAAGUGCUUCCAUUCCAUGAGUUUUAGAAAUCAUUUUGGAAAAGUGAAGCCUUUGUAAUUGGUAUUUGGAAGUAUUUGGUAAUACUGAGCAAAUUAAGCAAUAUUAUUCUUCAUUCUAAAUGUAUUUUUUAUUAUUCUUUUCUCCCCUGCCUUUUGGGCGUGGGAUUUAGCCGCCUUUGUAUUUCUAAACACAAAAGGCCAGUUUUUAUUAAUUAAAGUGUCAAUGUACUGUGAUUAAUUUUUCAUUAUUUAGUUUUGUGAUUGUAGUUUUCAUUUCUUAGUAGCACCUCUGAUUAAGAGAAUUAACCUGUUAAUUUUUUCCCUUAUCUCCUGAAAAAUCUUAUCAGAGGCUGUUUGGAAUUCUUUGGCUUCUAUGGUAUGCAUAUUGUUGAUUUGCAUGGACUAGUUACCUCAGUUAUUCAUUCAACAGGUAUUUCUUAAGCACUUGGUUGUGCCAGGGCCUCUGCUAGAUGAUAGGAAUACAGUAGUGAACUUAACAAUGUGCCUGCCCUCCUGAAGCUUACGGUCUGGUAGGUGAGACAAAUAGUAAUCAGAUAAUCAAGUGAAUAUAUGUGCAAUUCCAACCAUGACAAGUGCUAUGAGGGGGAGGCCUUUGGUGAUCCAAGAGCUGGUCAUGCAGGGAUGGGACUGAGAGAGGAGGUGGGACCUCGUCAGGCAGUUCAGGGAACGCUUCCCCAAGAAAGUGGUGCUGGAGCCCAAAUCUGAAGGAUGAAGAGAGGUUAAAUAGGUCAAAUAGGAUUUUAAAUAAUGUCAAAUGGUUAUAUACAGGGCACUGAGAGCUAAUUUUUCUUUGGGGAAAGGUAAUAUUUUUUACUCUCGAUUUUAUCGUAUGUAAACAGAGCCAUUCAGACUCCUUUGUAUAUUUUUUUAAUGGUUUUUCUUUUUUGCUUGGCAUUUUAUUCAUUUACCGAAGAGCUGGCUUGUACUUUGGCAGAUGUCAUACUUGGUUAUUGUUCUUGAGAAUGUUGGCCCAACAAUUUGGGAGUUGUGAAAGGGACUUGGCUUUUCAGACCUUGACCUCUGUAUCAUGACUACCAUAAACUCCGGAUCAGGACAUCUAACCUCCUCCCGUGCUAAGUGAGGUGUCUGUCCCUCUGAUCUCUGCUGUCUGGCUUUCUAUGCAUCCUUCUGAUAUUGCAAAUGCCACAUUGCAAUGGAAUCCUGCCUCAUCUAAGCUGAGCUCUUGAAAGAAUCAUCCAUGCUCAGUGGCUACUUCGAUUCCCCUGCCCUUAUCAACCAACUGCAUUUUGUUCUCACGCUCUCCAGGGACUGCAAUCCAUGCUCUCAGGGAGCUCAUAGUCCAGUGGAAAGAAGGAGACCAGUAAUUAUUAUACAGAAGGAUUUGGGCUGUAAAAUAUACAAAUACCUCGUGGCUAGGAGCUCAGAGGAGAUGCAUAUGUGAGCCAAGAUGACUUCCCAAAGGAGAGAUGCUUGAGCUGAAUUUGGAGUUUUGAUUGCUUUGGCUGCUGUGAUGAGAAUGGACUGCAAGAGAUGGAUGCAGCAGGAAGAGUUAGAAAGUGAUGGAAACAUCCAGGCUCUGUGGAGAGCAGGCAUUGCACUGGGCAGCCUGGCUUCUUGCUUUGCC
rnacentral:lncRNA from 1 species